rnacentral:rRNA from 1 species
AGCCAAGUCGCGUGAGGGAAGACGGUCCUAUGGAUUGUAAACCUCUUUUGCCGGGGAGCAACGGGGUCCUUGCGAGGGCCUAAUGAGAGUACCCGGAGAAAAAGCAUCGGCUAACUCCGUGCCAGCAGCCGCGGUAAUACGGAGGAUGCGAGCGUUAUCCGGAUUUAUUGGGUUUAAAGGGUGCGUAGGCGGGCUGUUAAGUCAGCGGUCAAAUGUCGGGGCUCAACCCCGGCCUGCCGUUGAAACUGGUGGCCUCGAGUGGGCGAGAAGUAUGCGGAAUGCGUGGUGUAGCGGUGAAAUGCAUAGAUAUCACGCAGAACUCCGAUUGCGAAGGCAGCAUACCGGCGCCCGACUGACGCUGAGGCACGAAAGCGUGGGUAUCGAACAGGAUUAGAUACCCUGGUAGUCCACGCAGUAAACGAUGAAUGCUAGCUGUCCGGGGCUUCGGUCCUGG